rnacentral:rRNA from 1 species
AAGUCGUAACAAGGUCUCCGUAGGUGAACCUGCGGAGGGAUCAUUACCGAGUGAGGGCCUCCGGGCCCGACCUCCAACCCCAUGUUAACCGACCCUGUUGCCUCGGGGGCGACCCGGACUCGUGCCGGGGCCCCCGAUGGACCUUCAAACACUGCAUCUUUGCGUCCGAGUCAAUAUUUGAAUAAAUCAAAACUUUCAACAACGGAUCUCUUGGUUCUGGCAUCGAUGAAGAACGCAGCGGAAUGCGAUAAGUAAUGUGAAUUGCAGAAUUCAGUGAAUCAUCGAAUCUUUGAACGCACAUUGCGCCCUCCGGUAUUCCGGGGGGCAUGCCUGUUCGAGCGUCAUUUGUACCCUCAAGCUUUGCUUGGUGUUGGGCGUUUGUCUUUCGAGACUCGCCUUAAAAAGAUUGGCAGCCGGCAUACUGGUUUCGGAGCGCAGCACAAAUUGCGGUCUGUUCCUGAAUGUCGACGUCCAUGAAGCCCCCAUUAUCACUUUUGACCUCGGAUCAGGUAGGGAUACCCGCUGAACUUAAGCAUAUCAAUAAGCGGAGGAAAAGAAACCAACAGGGAUUGCCUCAGUAACGGCGAGUGAAGCGGCAUCAGCUCAAAUUUGAAAUCUGGCUCUUUUAGAGUCCGAGUUGUAAUUUGCAGAGGGCGCUUUGGCAUAGGCAGCGAUUCAAGUUCCUUGGAACAGGACGUCACAGAGGGUGAGAAUCCCGUACGUGGUCGCUAGCUCUUGCCGUGUAAAGCCCCUUCGACGAGUCGAGUUGUUUGGGAAUGCAGCUCUAAAUGGGAGGUAAAUUUCUUCUAAAGCUAAAUAUUGGCCAGAGACCGAUAGCGCACAAGUAGAGUGAUCGAAAGAUGAAAAAAACUUUGGAAAGAGAGUUAAACAGCAUGUGAAAUUGUUGAAAGGGAAGCGCUUGCAGCCAGACUUGCCUGUAGUUGCUCAUCCGGGCUCUUGCCCGGUGCACUCUUCUGUAGGCAGGCCAGCAUCAGUUUGGGCGGUUGGAUAAAGGUCUCUGUCAUGUACCUCUCUUCGGGGAGGCCUUAUAGGGGAGGCGACAUACAACCAGCCUAGACUGAGGUCCGCGCAUUCGUGCUAGGAUGCUGGCGUAAUGGCUGUAAGCGGCC